GUGAUUUCAGUUCCGGUUCAAUGCAUUUGUAAUGAGGGGGCGCACUUCUGUGCAGUGUGCACAAGUCGUCGUUGCCAGCAGGCUGCACCCGACAGCCAAGGGAUUUACAUGUGGCAUAGCAAGUCUCUGAAGCAGUGUCUCACACUCGAGUCCUGACCGAGGGCCUUGAAACUGGCAUGCCUGUUCAAAACAUCUCCAGGACAACAAGGUUAUUUUGUGUUGACGUGUAUUGAAUUCUUAAGGGCAAAGAAGAUGAAGGAGAAUGCGUGCAGUGGGCUGAAUGGAGAAUUCCAGAUACCAGAUUUUUUUUUUUUGAAAACUAUUUAUAUAUGGAAUCUGAAUGCACUCCAGGAUAUGCUGCAGUUCUUUGUGCCACAAGAGGCCAAGAAGCUCUACUACAAGACGUUGAGGCAGAAGAUGAAGAUUAUUACAAAUUAUCCAAGUCAGUUCCGACCAAGUAAUUUGAUUGGACAAGAGGCAUUCCAGUGCUGAUAUAGAGUAGCCUGGCGAUGUCAUACUCAUAAUUCUAGUCAGAAUAUGAGUCUGAGACCGAACCAUUGGGUGAUUAUAGGGCGGAACCAGGAAGGAAAAUGCCUCUUCGCUCAAUUGGAUAGACCUAAAACCAAUCAGAGCAACGUAGUAUGUGACGUAUGUUGUGCGAAGCACAGCUAUUCUCAAACUAACUCAACUGAGCGCACGUUCGAAGAAGUAGAAAAAGUAGAUGGACAUAAACGAUUUAUGCCUGUUUUGUAAAAAGAAUUUAAGGAUACACGGACAAAUUGGCAACACGGUCAGCAUUUUUGGGAAAAAAAGUAAAAGCGCUGAGCGCUCUUUGGUGACGUGGUUGAUUACGUUAAUGUGUAUCAUCUGUCCAUCAACGUAUAAAGCCCGCCCUUACAAUUUGAUUGGUCAGAUCACUUUUUGAUCUGACCUAAUACCUCCCAACGAGCUCAAUUCCAGACUGAUUCUCCAGACCAAAUAUUUUGUGGGCGGAGUUCAGGCUGGUAUCCAGGCUAGAUAUAGAGUAUAACAGCACUGGGUCUUUUAACUAUACACGUAUCGCUCCGCUUUACGGGUGUUCUCAUAACCGUUAAUGUUAUUAACAAUCUUUUUGUAGCUUAGAUUGCAGCUAACUUUGCACAGCAAAUAUGAACAUGUUUCCAGGAAUAACAUUGGAGUUGAAUUAAGAAUGGUCGCCAGAAGAGGACCAAGGGAACCUAAUGUAAUGCUAAUGUGUUUAUGUGUUGCUUGGCAACAGUUCAGUCCAGUUGCGGAUCUAUUUGUGUUGGCGGAGCCAAAUAAAUCAUUAAUGAACCAAAGAAAUCUGAUCAUAAUAUGUUAAUUAUUAUUGUUAACUAAUGAUUGGUGCUUGUAGAACUGUUGUAUAAAAGCAAUAUCACUCAGGAGUGAGUGCUGUUGUACUACGGCUGGGAUUCGGUCGUAGGUAUGAGGCCGUUGGCCGAGUGCCGAAGAGAAUCACAGCCGUAGUACAACAGCACUCCCUCUCGUGUGAUGUUGCUUAAUUAUUCUGUUCCAAAAUUCCAUAAAAAGUCUGAUUACUAAGAAAUAUUGAUGUAUCAUUACUUUUGUCAGUUUCAAGUUUUUGUUUUAACACAGGUCUACCAACAAUGUGUAUGAUGUAUGACUACCUGAAAGCAUUUGUCUAUGACCUCACCCAGCUGCUGAGAGAACCUUCAGAGGUAAACCUCUAAAGGUGUGCUCCUUUAUAAGCGAUGCUCCAGCAUGUGAUUUUCUUCAAAACAGUGUGCUAUCCUCUGGUUCAGUCUUUAUCAUCUACAGUUGAUUUAGGUACAAAAAAAGCCCAUUUCACAUAUCCCAUUGAUUAAAUGCACCUCUGCUGUUUGGGUGUAAAUUUUGCCAUCACUAUUUCUUGUUACGGAGAUGAGGACAACUACUUGCCUCUUUCAUGCAUCUCCUUUGUCCACAUCUAUGUUUGGGGAUUGUAAUUUGAAGCCAUUCCUCAAGUGUUUGCUAUGCCUCAUUGUUUAUUAUACUGCAUACUACAUUGGCACACUUGGGAAAAAAUAUAUAUUUUAUUCAAUGUCUUCCCUUCUACAAUGCGGCAGCAAAAUCAUUACAGAUUUUUUUCCCCCACUUUAUUCUGUUUUGGGCAUUUCCUACCAGUGCAAAGAUGUUUAAAUUAGUCACUGAAAGCAGUGUUCUGAAAUAUCAAAAAUAGUUGUAGCCUGUAUGCAUGGCCUUCACAUAUUUUUUGUAAAGCUGUACAUGUCUUUAAAGAUGUUGAUGCGGAUGUUUCCACAUUUACAUUUCUCAGUGCAAAUGGGUUUUUGAAUAAGUUUCUGAAAGUAGUGCUUUGAGAUGUUUGAGAUAACAAACAUUUAAUAUGUUGGAAAUAUUUUUGGUCGCUGUGUCAUAAUUCAGCUCAAUAUUUAAUAUAUUGUUUCUUAUGGCACCUUAACGAGAAAAUGUCAAACUGGCACUGAAUGUUGAAAAGGUUGCUGACCCCUGGUUACUGUAUUCCCGCUCCAUUACAUGUAUGUUCGUUUAUUUCAACUUAACUUGUUUUUCUGUGUUAUUACAACCUUGCAACACAUUUCCAUUAAUGUAGUUUGUUUAUUCCUUAACAGUUUUCCAAAAACACAAUCAAAUGGGUAUUAAAACCUUAAUCUUUUGUCAA